GGACGAACGCUGGCGGCGUGCUUAACACAUGCAAGUCGAACGGAAAGGCCCUGCUUUUGUGGGGUGCUCGAGUGGCGAACGGGUGGGUAACACGUGAGUAACCUGCCCUUGACUUUGGGAUAACUUCAGGAAACUGGGGCUAAUACCGGAUAGGAGCUCCUGCUGCAUGGUGGGGGUUGGAAAGUUUCGGCGGUUGGGGAUGGACUCGCGGCUUAUCAGCUUGUUGGUGGGGUAGUGGCUUACCAAGGCUUUGACGGGUAGCCGGCCUGAGAGGGUGACCGGCCACAUUGGGACUGAGAUACGGCCCAGACUCCUACGGGAGGCAGCAGUGGGGAAUAUUGCACAAUGGGCGGAAGCCUGAUGCAGCAACGCCGCGUGCGGGAUGACGGCCUUCGGGUUGUAAACCGCUUUCGCCUGUGACGAAGCGUGAGUGACGGUAAUGGGUAAAGAAGCACCGGCUAACUACGUG
rnacentral:rRNA from 1 species